AAACUAACGAGGAUUCCCAUAGUAACGGCGAGUGAAAUGGGAAAAGCCCAGCGCUGAAUCCAUCGAUCACUGGUCGCUUGGAAUUGUAGCGUAUAGGUGCGGCUGUCCGCUCGUUUCGUGCACCCAAAGUCCCCUUGAGCGGGGCCAUAGUCCAAAGAAGGUGCUAGACCUGUACGGGUGGCGAGACGGUCGGUUGGUCGCUCCUUGGAGUCGGGUUGCCUGGGAUCGCAGCCCAAAGUUGGUGGUAGACCUCAUCUAAGGCUAAAUAUGGCCACGAAACCGAUAGCAAACAAGUACCGUGAGGGAAAGUUGCAAAGAACUUUGAAGAGAGAGUUCAAGAGGGCGUGAAACCGCCGAGAUUGAAACGGAUAGAGUUGACGAAACUCGAUCGCAUUCAUCCGAUCCGCCUAGCGGUUCGGCGGUUGUUGACUUCCUCGAUGAGGGCAACGCCGUCGCUGGCUGUUGGGUGUUAGAUGGGUGUAUUUGCGGUCGGUAUGCGCCGAGAGCUUUGCGAACGCAUGUUGGCGUUGAUGUAGUGGACCACUCCCUUCGGGCGUGGAACCCUGCACUGACUGAGGCAUGUCGUUUGUAGGGUGUUGCUGGUUGACGUCUCCGCUAUGGUGCGUCGGCUUUGUCGGACUGUUGUGGCUACUGGGUGAUCGCAUGCGAGCGCCUGUGGUUUAUGAUCGUACGAUGAGGUGCAGACGCGCUUGAGACGUGCAUCUCGGUGUGAACGUUGACCACCUAUC
rnacentral:rRNA from 1 species